rnacentral:rRNA from 1 species
GACAGAGGGUGCAAACGUUGUUCGGAAUUACUGGGGCGUAAAGCGUGCGCAGGCGGUUUUUGUAAGUCUGUUUGUGAAAUCCCCCGGGCUCAACCUGGGAAUGGCAAUGGAGACUGCAAGGCUAGAGUUUGGCAGAGGGGGGUAGAAUUCCACGUGUAGCAGUGAAAUGCGUAGAUAUGUGGAGGAACACCGAUGGCGAAGGCAGCCCCCUGGGUCAAAAACUGACGCUCAUGCACGAAAAGCGUGGGGGAGCAAACAG